rnacentral:ncRNA from 15 species
AACGACCGGUCGGACACGCACGCCCAUGGCAGCGGAUCCGGCCCACAAGUGGAGGCUUCGAACUCCCACCUGGCCGUCCUCCGGACGGCGGGUCACCGGUCAGGCGGUUCCGUCCCACGGCGGUGACCAGCCCGAAAUCGCGCCCCGCGGUCAUAGCGGCGGUGCUCCGGUAGCAGUUCGAGGAGCCCCGCCUGUGAUCGUCCGGGGCAUUUUUU